ACUGGUGUCUUGUGCGAGCUGGUACCACUCCUUCCCAUUCCGAACAGGAUAGUGAAACGGUUUAGCGCUGACGAUAGUUGAGGGGGAACUCUCCGCGAAAAUAGGUCGGCGCCAGUA
rnacentral:rRNA from 1 species